GGUGACCAGAGUUUUCUGGACUAUGUACAGUGUGCUGGACGGCGUUCUAGGUGCUUUGGCGGUUACACAGUGGACCUGAAAAGGACCCUUGCCUAGUAUCCUAAGGCCUAGGGAAGAAGAGAUAUAAGGCAAGGUGGAAAGUGCUAGAAGCCUUUAGAAAGCUACCAGAUUGGGGCGAUGGCAGUUGAGAAGCAAGAGUCUGUUCACCCUUCGGGCUUAUGCUGAGACCUCAGGGUCUCAAGGCACGUUUGAAAACUCAAACUCGGCCAAGCGGUGGUGUCCAGCCUGUGAGAGGACUCCCUUAUUCUGAAAGAUGUCCACAGUUGUUUCUAGUAUCCAGUUCCCGCCUCCCACCUAGAUACCAGAUCUGGGAAAAACUGAAUGGGUUGUGCCCCAAACCUGCAAACAUUUUCUUACUGAUGAAAUGUGAGAAUAUUGAACUUCAAAGUCACGUGUGACCUCG
ensembl:lncRNA